rnacentral:piRNA from 1 species
GACUCAAUCAGCCGCGGGUCAGCCUCU